AUUGAUUUAAUUAAAUUACAAUCCAAUUACAAUUAUUCCUUCUUCUACUCACUAACUCUUAGUGAGUUAAAACAAUUAUCAAUCAAAUUGAUAAUUAUAAAUUAUUUGUGAUUCCAAAUCACAAUUCAACCAUCGGAUCGAUCAAUACCUCUAAUAUGUAUGACCCCAUAGGUUCUAUUCUGUCUGGUAGUGAGAUAUAUUGUGAUCCCUAUCACAAUAUCAUUGAAACUUCUUUCAAUGGGUUGGAACAAUUCCCACUCUUCUCAUUCGGGUUCACUGAUCAUCAAGUGAAUGCCUCUGAGUCUCACAAUCCACCAGUGACACCUAG
rnacentral:lncRNA from 1 species